AUGGCCCGCCGCGCCCGCGCCGCACUUGUCGGCGAGGCCGACGCACGCGAGGCUGUGGAACGACGACGCGGCGUGGCGGCUCCGCUACGUUGCACCGAUACGGCGAUACGAUCACGCCCUCCAGCUCCCGGCAACCCUCCAACCCCCCAACCAACCGACCUCUCGAUCGAUCGUAGCAGCUUCUCCUUUUUCGAUGGCGGUGGAUCUGACCCCGAGGCAGCCGGCCAAGCUCUCGCUCGCCGCCGGCGGCAUGUCGCUUCCCAGCUACUCCGACUCCGCCAAGGUCGCCUACGUCCUUCAGGAUAUGCAUACCACCGAUCCAUCGAUCCCCUCUCGCAGACUCCCACCCCCCCUCCCAGCGCGAUCGCUGUCUGGUCUGUGCGGGACCCGAAUUCUGCUUCGGUCGUAGACGGUCGCGGGUUGAUCGAAUCUGUUUGUUUCAGUAUCUAG
rnacentral:rRNA from 1 species